CUACGGGUCGCAGCAGUGAGGAAUUUUGCGCAAUGGGGGAAACCCUGACGCAGCAACGCCGCGUGAGCGAAGAAGGCCCUUGGGUCGCAAAGCUCUGUCAAUGGGGAAGAAGUUACUUGGUAUUAAUAGUGCCUUGUAUUGACGGUACCCAUGAAGGAAGCACCGGCUAACUCCGUGCCAGCAGCCGCGGUAAUACGGGGGGUGCAAGCGUUAUUCGGAAUUAUUGGGCGUAAAGGGCACGCAGGCGGUCCUGUCAGUCGGAUGUGAAAGCCCAGGGCUCAACCCUGGACGUGCAUUUGAAACAGCAGGACUUGAGUACGGGAGAGGAAAGGGGAAUUCCUGGUGUAGAGGUGAAAUUCGUAGAUAUCAGGAGGAACACCGGUGGCGAAGGCGCCUUUCUGGACCGAUACUGACGCUGAGGUGCGAAGGCGUGGGUAGCGAACGGGAUUAGAUACCCCUGUAGUC
rnacentral:rRNA from 1 species